rnacentral:rRNA from 1 species
GGACUACACGGGUAUCUAAUCCUGUUUGCUCCCCACGCUUUCGCGCCUCAGCGUCAGUCUCGGUCCAGAGAGCCGCCUUCGCCACCGGUGUUCUUCCCAAUAUCUACGAAUUUCACCUCUACACUGGGAAUUCCACUCUCCUCUCCCGAACUCCAGCCCUUCAGUCCCAAGCGCAAUUCCCAGGUUGAGCCCGGGGCUUUCACGCCUGACUUGAACGGCCGCCUACGCGCCCUUUACGCCCAGUAAUUCCGAACAACGCUAGCCCCCUUCGUAUUACCGCGGCUGCUGGCAC